rnacentral:lncRNA from 1 species
CUCUGCAAUAUUCUUACUGAAAAAACUGUCACAGAUUAAUGUCGUUAACAUAACACACACCAACAUUUUCCGUAUUGGCUGUUGCGGUAGAGACGGAUUACCGUGUCCUUGGAGCCCAUGUUGCUGCCUUCGUGUUUAGUUCCCGUGAGGCUGGGAGAGGAUGCUGUUGCUUGGCAAUCAUGCUGCACACAACUUGUAAAUCCGCGUAUCCCCGUCUCUGUCUGUGAACUCAGCAGAAAAAUAUGUACACGCAGUUCGUUCCAUUUCACCUCCCAAACCCCCAACUGGAGAGAAUCACAAGUGUUGCCUACGACGCGCAGGGAGAGCCGGUGGACACGGUACAGCAGAGCGCUGAAGCUCAGGGGAGGACGGACGGUGACCUAAGAAUUCUGGAUGCUCUUGCAGGACGUGUGGUGAUGGAUUAUUUACCUUAAUUGAAGAGAUAAGAGCCAAAGAAAGAAAAAUCUCUGCAGCUGAAAUCAAUUUAUUUGGUCUCCAUGAUAUUUUAGAGGAUUGAAAAGAAACUAUUUUCGAAUUGCAAUGAUGUAGUUCCACGGCCCCGUGUCUGUCAACAGCACCAUUUGGAGAAAGUUUGGUUCAAAGGAAGGAAGAAUCAAAGAGACAAACAUGCAGGGCCCGUGCCUGCUGCCCUGCCGUCUUCAGCUGGUGCUGAGGUCCUUGCCGCAAAGAUGAGAGCUGGGACGUGAUGGAGACGGCAGCUCGAGAAUGGUUGACUUUCCCUGCUGGGUAAUUUUCCUUAUUGCCCCAAUUGAUGACAAAGAAUCGGAGUGCAGUGCCUAAUUCUUCACCAUAAACUACCUAAGGUGUGAGUCAGCCUUCCUGCGUUGUACACAUUCUCAGGAUCCCGGUGGAACUGUGUCUUUCGUGCUGCCAUUGAAGUCAUCUUCUGACUUAGAUGACAAAUGUGUGUGGACAAACUCGGAAAGAGCAACAUGGAGACAGUUGCUAAUGGUCUCCAUCUAUCCACAGGAUGAAAGGGAGCAGACACGUGGAAUGGUUGACAGGAAUAAAGGG